UACAUCCACGGGCAGAAAUGCAGCGGCACUCCAAAGAAUACUGAUACUAGAUGGUUUGUUUUGUUUUUAAUUGUAAACUGUUAUAAACUGAAAAUGGCCCUUUAAGGCACUAUUGCUGAAACAACAUCUCCAGCUGCCGCUAAGCCAGGCUGGCUCCUGGAAUGCUCAAAUCAUUGAACAGUUUGGGUCGGAAGGGACCUUCAAAGCUCAUCCAGUGCCACCCCUGCCAUGAGCAGGGACAUCUUCACCAGAUCAGGUUGCUCAGAGCCCCGUCCAGCCUGGCCUGGGAUGUCUCCAGGGAUGGGGCAUCCACCACCUCUCUGGACAACCUGGGACAGGGUUGCAACACCCUCACUGUAAAAAAAUUCUUCCUCGUGUCCAGCCUGAAUCUCCCCUCUUUUAGUCUAAAACCAUCACCCCUUGUCCUGUCACAACUGUCCUUCCUAAAAAGUCUGUCCCUCUUGUUCAAAAGAGUUUUGUGUCUCCAUGCAAGGAACAAACCGUAUCAACACUGACAGCUGAAGCACUUCCAUGUUAUAAAGAUGCCACCUACGCUUUAGGAAACCUGAGAGGCAGGAGUUGUUGGAAGUUAGAAGAGUACUGUAGGAAUAUACCAUUUUGUGCUUGUAUUUUACUUUCUGUUGUUAGACACUGUUGGGACUAGCAGGGCUUCUUGUGUGAUUCUGAAAGGUGUCUCUAACCUUACGUUCACUGAGUCUCACCAUAGGUACCUCACUGGGGAUAGUGUGUGCACACAAACCAGCCUGUCAAGGCAGGACCUGCCUAAGACUGCCAGUGGGAACCAUGUUUGGGAUGGAUGAAAAAAACACAGACCUUUGGAAUUUCAGCUUUCAUCUUUGUGUGCCUUCAUACCUCUUCUAUAAAAUAAAUCUGUACCUGCUCAUUACUACCAGGACGCUCAGGGAAGUAUGAGGACAGUUACUGUCUCACCACUUUGACCUUUAUCCACUAUUUUUAGCAUAGAAUCAUAUAAUCAUUUGGUUGGAAAAGACCCUCAAGAUCAUGAAGUCCAACCAUUAACCUGACACUGUCACUAAACCAUGUCCCUAAGAAACACAUCUAUGUGUCUUUUAAACACCUCCAGGUGACUCCGCUACUUCCCUGUGCAGCCUGUUCAACCCUUUCCAUGAAGAAUUUUUUCCUAAUAUCCAGUCUAAACCUCCCCUGGCGCAACUUGAGGCCAUUUCCUCUUGUCCUAUCACUUGUUACUUGGGAGAAGAGACCAACCCCCUCCAUGCUACAACCUCCUUUCAGGCAGUUGCAGACAGUGAUAAGGUCUCCCCUCAGCUCCUGUUCUCCAGGCUGAACAGCCCCAGGUCCCUCAGCUGCUCCCGUCACACUUUGCUCCAGACCCCUCACCAUCUUUGUAGCAUGGAUUCUCCUUAGAGAAUGUACAGGUAAGCCUUUCCAGUUUCUUGAUUCUGCAGCUUCUAAUCAAAUGCAUUUCUCAUUGAGGGAUGGGAGGGAGAAGAGUAUUUUAAAUCAAACACGUUUAUUUUUCAGCAGAGCAGGGUAUUAAUGAGAUACAGCCUCUCCUACUGAAGGCACGGGUGUGCUGAGUCUGCAGGUGUUCUGCAGGCUGAACGAAGGAAAGUUCUUCAUGCCUACACAGCAAGUCUGCACCGGUAAAUUCACUUUACAAAGAAGUUUUUCCAUAGCAGUCAGUGUUUUGGGGUUUUGUUUGUUUGUUUGUUUUGUGUUCACUACUUACUUACAGUUGAGGACAUUGAGGCACAGGUUCAAAGACCUGCCCAACAUUAAGGGAGUGUGGAACCCAGCUCUGGAUCCCACCAAAAGACCUCAACCAGCAAACCAUCUUUUCUGCUUGCUGUUCUACUCAGCAAGAUACUCAAGCACAACCCAGAAGUUCCUCCUGGUGUUUAAGGGUCCCGCAACAGUCGGUAACAAGAGACUUGACGUUUCCUCUUGCAGGUCCAAGCCCAGAUCUCUGCACACCCUGGAUCCUAGACAUAAACAGAAGAAAAAACAAAACAAAACAACAACAUCCAGUUGUAGCAAAAAGAGGGGUGAUAGGGAAGCAGAAUUAGACAUAACAUGAGGACCAAAGUAACUUCAAGCAUCGUACCUGUGCAUGGAGUCACUUGUUACAUGCUGUGCCAGUGAUGCCAGCCCAAACCGCCAUGGCGGAAGAUGGCAAUGCUGCACUGUGGGGGAUACACAGGUGUCUGUGCGGGGCUUCUUGGCACAGCCAAAGGGACGUGACAGUUCUAGAAAAAGCCGUGCAGGCUUUAGAAGCUGUUGAUGGCUUCCCCAGCUGAGCUUGAGCCCUGUACCUGACAGCAAAUCGAAGCACCAGCACUGCACCAGGCUUGGUCCAGGUUAGUGCAGGGCUUUAGGCUGAGCUCAAGUGAACAAGGCUGUGCUUCUGUGUGCAUUUACCAGUGUUAUGCCUGUCCAAAUUAUAUUGCAAAUAAAAUCCUACUGGAUGAAACUGUGUUGGGGCAAGUGGAGAAGGAGCGAGAAACAUAACCUACCUGGAAACGGUAAGUCUGCAUUUAGAGUUUACUUAGAAGAAAUAAAGAGAAAAAGAGCGUUACUCAUACACAAAUCACUGAGCACAGGAACAGCAAUAUUGAAAGAGUUUUAGGACAUCAGCGCUCAAACAAAUAAAGCUUGAAACUAGUUGUUUCUACUACAGCCUCCCACAUAAUAAGAGACUACAGUACCACUGGCUCUUUAAUCACUCCCUUGUAAUGAACUGGGCAAACACCCACUUUAUCGUGAGCGUUAGACCGGAUCCAAGUGAUAGACCAGAGACUUGAUGUGGCUGGAAUGAAACACUGACAGAACUUCUACAUCACAUACGUGACAGCAUCUUGACAUAAAGUGUUUUGUCCAGCAUGAGUGAUUUUAUUACGCGGAGAAUUCAUCCAGCUACUAUGGUAAGUUAUACCUUUGGUGCACACCGAUGUGAUUAUAAUUAUAAGCUUGUACAAAAUGAAUAAAGAUCAGCAUGUUUAAUUCUGAAGGUAAUAAAGCUCCUGAAAAUGCA